CUGGGCAGAGGUUUGACUGGCAAGCAGCUCUGGGUGUACAUUUCAUCCAAGAGUCUCAUGGUGGUCGAAGGAGAUCCCCAGAUGCAAAAUCAAAGUUGCUUGGAUUUCCAUUUCUUCCCCAUCUAGGAAAAGGGCAAUGGAAUCAAAGCCUUUAAAAAAUGUAGUAAGAGAAAGACUCUCUAAUUGAUCAGAACCUUCUGGCAACCAGCACUUUGGCCCAUCUACUGAAAAAUACUUUAUCAGUGUCUUUAGUAAAGGCCCCCAAGAUGCACAAUACAUUUUUGGUUGUUGAAAUAGAGUGUCUUCUAAGUCAUCAAGUAAAAGAGAAAUUCUGCUCAGAAGACUUUUGGAUAGUACCCAACAUUUGGUGAGGCUUACUAUAUUACAUGCAUUACCUCGCUAAAUCACCACAUUAGAACACUUACAGUUAUGACAAAACAAGAAGGCCC
rnacentral:lncRNA from 10 species